UGAACGCUAGCGGCAGGCUAACACAUGCAAGUCGAGGGGUAACAGGGUAGCAAUACCGCUGACGACCGGCGCACGGGUGAGUAACGCGUAUGCAACCUGCCUAUAACUGGGGAAUAGCUCCCUGAAAGGGGAAUUAACACCGCAUAACACUAUUGAUUCGCAUGGAUUAGUAGUUAAAUGUAGCGAUACAGGUUAUAGAUGGGCAUGCGUGACAUUAGCUAGUUGGUGAGGUAACGGCUCACCAAGGCUACGAUGUCUAGGGGUUCUGAGAGGAAGGUCCCCCACACUGGUACUGAGACACGGACCAGACUCCUACGGGAGGCAGCAGUGAGGAAUAUUGGUCAAUGGGCGCAAGCCUGAACCAGCCAUGUCGCGUGCAGGAAGACUGCCCUAUGGGUUGUAAACUGCUUUUAUAGUAGAAGAAACACAUCUACGCGUAGAUGUCUGCCAGUAUACUAUGAAUAAGCAUCGGCUAACUCCGUGCCAGCCGCUGC
rnacentral:rRNA from 1 species